GUACUUCCGAGCGGCAUCGAUAUCAAACAAUGCAAAAGUCGAAGGAAGCUCGGCAAAUGACAAUUCAAUACAUGAGUAAAGGAGGUAACGAAAAAUUCCCUUUGCAUUAAUUAAGUAUAUAUUAAGAGCCCUUGAGGCUGAAGAAGAAAGAUGACGAGACAAGCAAGCUGAUGCGGUGACGACCAAGAACCUCUAGACAACAUCGGCAUCAAAAAGAAG
rnacentral:lncRNA from 1 species